rnacentral:rRNA from 1 species
GGCUGAUACGCCAGCUUGGUACCGAAGCUCGGAUCCGGGAGUAACGGCCGCCAGUGUGCUGGAUUCGCCCUUGGCUACCUUGUUACGACUUAGAGUCUGAGCCAGGAUCAAACUCUAGAGUUGGUUACCUUGUUACGACUUAUCCUGAGCCAGGAUCAAACUCUAAGGGCGAAUUCUGCAGAUAUCCAUCACACUGGCGGCCGCUCGAGCAUGCCUCUAGAGGGCCCAAUUCGCCCUAUAGUGAGUCGUAUUACAAUUCACUGGCCGUCGUUUUACAACGUCGUGACUGGGAAAACCCUGGCGUUACCCAACUUAAUCGCCUUGCAGCACAUCCCCCUUUCGCCAGCUGGCGUAAUAGCGAAGAGGCCCGCACCGAUCGCCCUUCCCAACAGUUGCGCAGCCUGAAUGGCGAAUGGACGCG